CUGAAGUCGAUGGCGCGCUCGUGGUCGCCGAUGCUGCCCAGCUCGCCGGCGGGGGGGCGCGGCCCGGGUCUGGCCGCGGGGGGCGCCGCGGGGGCCGCCUUGCCGCCGUACGCAGCAGCCAAGCAGUCCGCCUCGUAGUAGAAGUUGGCCACUUCCAUGGAUUUAAAGGCAGGCGGCGGCGGCGGCAGGGGGAGACAUGCUGGGUCCCAGGCCACCAGGCGUUGCAUGAACGCGGGUGCCCGGGGAGGGGGCCUGGGGCUGCCCGCUCCGGCCGGCCCGCAGGUGGCGCGGCCUCCCUGCUCUGAGCUGUCGCCGCUGCGUCGCUGCUGCUGCUGCCGCCGCUGCCGGGGUGGCCGCUAUUAGUGAGGGGGCUGGUGGCUGGACCCUCGGGUGGGUCCCCUUCCCAGUCCCGUGCGCGGCUCUGACUCGC
rnacentral:lncRNA from 1 species